ACAGUAUUGUAAUUAAUCUUAAGCAGGCACAUUUAAAACUGUAUUAUUAACAAUAAUAAUGAAACUAUUUCAAAUUAUUUUCGCAGUUGUCUGCAUAAUUGUUGGUGUUUUGGGUGAACCUGGUCAUAAUAUCGUAAGUGGUGAUAACAUUACAGGAGUUAAUCAAAACAAUGGCGAUUUUAGUCUUGGUCUCGAUUUGCCAAUACCUAUAUAAGAAAUUAUUGUUUUUGUAAAAAAAAAAUUGUAUUUAUAUAUUAAAAUACGGAAUGCAAAUUGCUAAUUUAUAAAUUAUAAGAUUUUCUAAUCUUUACUUCAUAAAUAA